rnacentral:rRNA from 1 species
GAUGAACGCUGGCGGCGUGCCUAAUACAUGCAAGUCGAGCGAACGGACGAGAAGCUUGCUUCUCUGAUGUUAGCGGCGGACGGGUGAGUAACACGUGGAUAACCUACCUAUAAGACUGGGAUAACUUCGGGAAACCGGAGCUAAUACCGGAUAAUAUUUUGAACCGCAUGGUUCAAAAGUGAAAGACGGUCUUGCUGUCACUUAUAGAUGGAUCCGCGCUGCAUUAGCUAGUUGGUAAGGUAACGGCUUACCAAGGCAACGAUGCAUAGCCGACCUGAGAGGGUGAUCGGCCACACUGGAACUGAGACACGGUCCAGACUCCUACGGGAGGCAGCAGUAGGGAAUCUUCCGCAAUGGGCGAAAGCCUGACGGAGCAACGCCGCGUGAGUGAUGAAGGUCUUCGGAUCGUAAAACUCUGUUAUUAGGGAAGAACAUAUGUGUAAGUAACUGUGCACAUCUUGACGGUACCUAAUCAGAAAGCCACGGCUAACUACGUGCCAGCAGCCGCGGCAAUACGUAGGUGGCAAGCGUUAUCCGGAAUUAUUGGGCGUAAAGCGCGCGUAGGCGGUUUUUUAAGUCUGAUGUGAAAGCCCACGGCUCAACCGUGGAGGGUCAUUGGAAACUGGAAAACUUGAGUGCAGAAGAGGAAAGUGGAAUUCCAUGUGUAGCGGUGAAAUGCGCAGAGAUAUGGAGGAACACCAGUGGCGAAGGCGACUUUCUGGUCUGUAACUGACGCUGAUGUGCGAAAGCGUGGGGAUCAAACAGGAUUAGAUACCCUGGUAGUCCACGCCGUAAACGAUGAGUGCUAAGUGUUAGGGGGUUUCCGCCCCUUAGUGCUGCAGCUAACGCAUUAAGCACUCCGCCUGGGGAGUACGACCGCAAGGUUGAAACUCAAAGGAAUUGACGGGGACCCGCACAAGCGGUGGAGCAUGUGGUUUAAUUCGAAGCAACGCGAAGAACCUUACCAAAUCUUGACAUCCUUUGACAACUCUAGAGAUAGAGCUUUCCCCUUCGGGGGACAAAGUGACAGGUGGUGCAUGGUUGUCGUCAGCUCGUGUCGUGAGAUGUUGGGUUAAGUCCCGCAACGAGCGCAACCCUUAAGCUUAGUUGCCAUCAUUAAGUUGGGCACUCUAAGUUGACUGCCGGUGACAAACCGGAGGAAGGUGGGGAUGACGUCAAAUCAUCAUGCCCCUUAUGAUUUGGGCUACACACGUGCUACAAUGGACAAUACAAAGGGCAGCGAAACCGUGAGGUCAAGCAAAUCCCAUAAAUUUGUUCUCAGUUCGGAUUGUAGUCUGCAACUCGACUACAUGAAGCUGGAAUCGCUAGUAAUCGUAGAUCAGCAUGCUACGGUGAAUACGUUCCCGGGUCU